rnacentral:rRNA from 1 species
GAUCAAGCUAAUAAGGGCUGUUGGUGGAUGCCUUGGCAUCGAGAGGCGAUGAAGGACGCGUAUACCUGCGAUAAGCUCUGGCGAGCUGGAAAGAAGUGUUGAGCCAGAGAUUUCCGAAUAGGGAAACCUAGUGGAGUUAAUCCUCCAUUAUUUCUAACUGAAUACAUAGGUUAGGAAGGCAAACCUGCUGAAUUGAGACAUCUAAGUAAGCAGAGGAAGAGAAAUCAAACGAGAUUCCCGUAGUAGCGGCGAGCGAAGUGGGAAUAGCCCAAACCGAAAAUUUAUUUUCGGGGUUGUAGGACUAGUCAUAAAGUAAAUGUGGACCUAACAUAACCCUCUGGGAAGUUGGGCGGUACAGGGUGAGAGCCCCGUGUGUAAAAGGAAAACAUUUGUGAGAUUAGCACCUGAGUAGGGCCGGACACGUGAAACCCGGUCUGAAUCUGGGGAGACCACUCUCCAAGGCUAAAUACUACUCGAUGACCGAUAGUGCACAAGUACAGUGAUGGAAAGGUGAAAAGAACCCCUGUUAGGGGAGUGAAAUAGAAUCUGAAACCAACAGCUUACAAGCGGUCAGAGGCCUAUGGUUCCUUUUAGGAAUCACGGCUGAUGGCGUGCCUUUUGCAUGAUGAGCCAGCGAGUUGUGUUGUACGGCUAGGUUAAGGGACAUCCGUUCCGGAGCCGAAGUGAAAGCGAGCGUAAAUAGCGCAUUGAGUCGUAUGAUGCAGACACGAAACCAAGUGAUCUAUCCAUGGUCAGGAUGAAGCAAGGGUAACACCUUGUGAAGGUCCGAACCAGUAUAUGUUGAAAAAUAUUUGGAUGAACUGUGGAUAGGGGUGAAAGGCCAAUCAAACUUGGAGAUAUCUUGUUCUCUCCGAAAUAACUUUAGGGUUAGCCUCGACUUUGAGACUCAUGGGGGUAGAGCACUGGAUUCCCAAGGGGGCCUACCGGCCUACCAACGGAAACCAAACUACGAAUACUAUGAGUUAAGUCGGGAGAUAGACAGUGGGGGAUAAGCUUCAUUGUCGAAAGGGGAACAGCCCAGAUCGCCGAUUAAGGCCCCUAAUUCUAUGCUAAGUGAGUAAGGAUGUGAAGUUUCUUAGACAGUUGGAAUGUUGGCUUAGAGGCAGCCACCAUUUAAAGAGUGCGUAACAGCUCACCAAUCGAGAAACUUUGCGCCGAUAAUGAUCGGGACUAAGUAUAGAGCCGAAAUCGCGGGUGUACCACUUUUGUGGUACGCGGUAGGAGAGCGUAGUAUGUGCAGUGAAGAUAUACCGUAAGGAGUGUUGGAGCGCAUACUAGUGAGGAUGCAUGGCAUAAGUAUACGAUAAAGGGAGUGAAAAUCUCCCUCGCCGAAAACCUAAGGUUUCCAGGGUAAAGUUCGUCUUCCCUGGGUUAGCCGGUCCCUAAGCUGAGGCUGAAAAGCGUAAGCGAUGGAAAGUAGGUUAAAUAUUCCUACGCCACCUAAAACUAUAGUGAUGGGGUGACGGAGUAAGUAAAGCAUGCGGGCUAUUGGAUGUCCGUUUGUGCAUGAGGCUGGUCAGUAGGUAAAUCCGCUGACGGAAAGCUAGGUGCAUGACAAGGGGAAUCUUCGGAGGAACCGAUGGUGUGGAGCAAUGCUUCCAAGAAAUAACCUCUAGCUGUUGAUGGUGACCGUACCAAAACCGACACAGGUAGGUGGGAAGAAUAUUCUCAGGCGCGCGAGAGAACUCUCGUUAAGGAACUCGGCAAAUUGUCCUCGUAACUUCGGGAAAAGAGGAGCCUUUGAGCGUGAUACCUUCGCGGUUAAGCGCUUGGAGGUCGCAGUGAAUCGGCCCAGGCGACUGUUUAACAAAAACACAGCACUAUGCAAACUCGUCUAAGAGGAAGUAUAUGGUGUGAUGCCUGCCCAAUGCCAAAAGGUCAAAAGGAGAUGUCAGCCCUUUAGGGCGAAGCAUUGAAUUUAAGCCCUGGUGAAUGGCGGCCGUAACUAUAACGGUCCUAAGGUUAAUAGCUAGCCUUAGUAAAACUAAACUAUAUGCGGGAAACCCUUCAAAAGCUAUUAGGUACUCGUCAUCUAAAUAUGGCAGUAACAAUCCUAAUAGACAUGGUGGCAAUCCGCAGGAAAGAUUAAUUGUUGAAAAUUGAUCGGGACACUUGGAAUGUAACAAGCAGACUGAUCAAUUGAGAUUAAAAUCCUCAGAGACCAAACGUUUGGAGUUUGAAAUGGAUUUACAAGCACAAUGGCUUGUUGGCUUCGUGGAUGCUGUUGGAGAAUUUCAUCUUUCGAUCAAUAGAAAUGAUGAGAUCCAAUAUCAGUUCGCCGUUGUCCAACAUAAGCGAGAUGUUCAAGUUCUCUAUGCACUUAAAGCAUUUUUCGGAUGUGGUGUGGUUCGUAAGAACCAUCUCGACCGAAUGAUCUAUCAUGUAAGAGGCAUUGAACACUUAACGGAAAUGAUUAUUCCCUUCUUUGAAAAGCAUAUGCUUAAAACAAAGAAAGGAAUAGAGUUUCAAAAAUUCAGAAAAGUUCUGCUUAAAAUAAAAAAAGGCGAUGACCUGACCACUGAUGGAAUUGAAGAAAUUCGAAACCUGAAGAAUCAAAUGAAUCGUCUCCAGCACCAAGAGAAGCAAUUAGAAGUUGUUUUUUGAGGGUUCAAACUAAGAUAGAGUCCGACUUUACUAGAAAUAGUAGAAGACUAAUCGAGCGAAAUUCCUUGUCGGGUAAGUUCCGACCUGCACGAAUGGCGUAACGAUCUGGGCACUGUCUCAACGAGAGACUCGGUGAAAUUGUAGUAGCGGUGAAGAUGCCGUUUACCCGCAGCUAGACGGAAAGACCCCGUGAACCUUUACUGUACUCUGAUAUUGGCUUUUGACUUGUCAUGUGUAGGAUAGCCGGGAGAUAGUGAAAGAGACUCGUCAGGGUUUCUCGAAUCAUCCUUGAAAUACCGGCCUUGACAUGUCGGAAAUCUAACGAAGCCCCAUGAAUCUGGGGUUCGGACAUUGUCAGACGGGCAGUUUGACUGGGGCGGUUUCCUCCUAAAAAGUAACGGAGGAGUCCAAAGCUUGUCUCAUCGUGGUUGGUAAUCACGAAUUGAGCGUAAAAGUAUAAGACAAGUUGACUGCGAGACCUACAAGUCGAGCAGGUACGAAAGUAGGGUUUAGUGAUCCGGCGGUGGAAAGUGGAAUCGCCGUCGCUUAACGGAUAAAAGGUACUCCGGGGAUAACAGGCUUAUCGCCACCAAGAGUUCAUAUCGACGUGGCGGUUUGGCACCUCGAUGUCGGCUCAUCGCAUCCUGGGGCUGAAGAAGGUCCCAAGGGUUUGGCUGUUCGCCAAUUAAAGCGGUACGCGAGCUGGGUUCAAAACGUCGUGAGACAGUUUGGUCCCUAUCUGCUGUGGGCGCAGGAUACUUGAGAAGAGCUGCUUCUAGUACGAGAGGACCGAAGUGGACGAACCAAUGGUGUUCCGGUUGUUCUGCCAAGAGCAUUGCCGGGUAGCUACGUUCGGAAAGGAUAAGCGUUGAAAGCAUCUAAACGCCAAGCCUCCUUCAAGAUAAAGUAUCCCUAUGAGAUGACCUGAAGACUACAGGGUUGAUAGGCUGGGUGUGUAAGUGUAGUAAUACAUUGAGCUAACCAGUACUAAUACAUCCAUAGGCUUGAUCUU